UAUAUUAAUAGCUUAUGAUUUAAGCCAACGGUAAUAAAAAUAUAUUAAUAGUUAUAGAUUAUAUAUAUGUUCUAUUGUACGUCCAUCGUAAUACACUAUAUAUUCCCUUGUAGUAGGUUUGCAGUCUUUCUCAGUUCUCACACCUCACCUGAGUUCUCUCCAAUUUCCCGCUGGACUCUAUUUCUUCUUCGUCUUCUUCAACUUUCACAUGUAAAACUAAUUCGUGGUAUAAGCACUUCUGUAACAGUGUUGUUUUCUGAAGUAUUUACGACUCUGUUAUUGGCUUCCAUUUCACAUUCCUAGGGUUGGAUUGAUGUUCUUGAGUAGCAUAUAUAAUUGACAUUCCUACUUUGAGGUGCAACAAUGGUUUGCGUAUCAUUGAAAUUUAAAGAAUUCAAGAACUCCACUGGGUACAUGAACUCUUGUUCAGUUAUUAUCAAUUGCAUUAUCUAUCUUUCAAUUAUUAUUUUGCUGGCCCUUCAAUCACGUGAGUGAUUCAAAGGAGUGAAUAUUGCUCUCAAUAAUGGUUUUGUAAAUUUGGACAUGUGCUCUCAAUAAUUUGUUUAAGUGAAUCAUAUGUAUUCUUUAGUAGAAUAGGGCAUGGUGUUUUUGUUCAUGAACAAUGUCUUCUCUUACUCUACUAAUUGUUGAUAUUUUUCCUCA